UACGGAGGGGGCAAGCGUUAUUCGGAAUUAUUGGGCGUAAAGGGCUCGUAGGCGGUUUGUCGCGUCGGGAGUGAAAACCAGGUGCUUAACACCUGGCUUGCUUUCGAUACGGGCAGACUAGAGGUAUUCAGGGGAGAACGGAAUUCCUGGUGUAGCGGUGAAAUGCGCAGAUAUCAGGAGGAACACCGGUGGCGAAGGCGGUUCUCUGGGAAUGACCUGACGCUGAGGAGCGAAAGUGUGGGGAGCGAACAGG
rnacentral:rRNA from 1 species